rnacentral:rRNA from 1 species
GAUGAACGCUGGCGGCGUGCUUAACACAUGCAAGUCGAACGAAGCAUUUGCGACAGAUUUUUUCGGAAUGAAGUUGCUUAUGACUGAGUGGCGGACGGGUGAGUAACGCGUGGGUAACCUGCCUUGUACUGGGGGAUAGCAGCUGGAAACGGCUGGUAAUACCGCAUAAGCGCACAAUGUUGCAUGACAUGGUGUGAAAAACUCCGGUGGUAUAAGAUGGACCCGCGUCUGAUUAGCUAGUUGGUGAGAUAACAGCCCACCAAGGCGACGAUCAGUAGCCGACCUGAGAGGGUGACCGGCCACAUUGGGACUGAGACACGGCCCAGACUCCUACGGGAGGCAGCAGUGGGGAAUAUUGCACAAUGGAGGAAACUCUGAUGCAGCGACGCCGCGUGAGUGAAAAAGUAAUUCGUUAUGUAAAGCUCUAUCAGCAGGGAAGAUAGUGACGGUACCUGACUAAGAAGCUCCGGCUAAAUACGUG